rnacentral:misc_RNA from 1 species
UCCUCGUUAACCGAGGCAGUCUCGCUAGAGUGCCCACCAUUACGUGUUGGCAACUAACGACAAGGGUUGCGCUCGUUGCGGGACUUAACCCAACACCUCACGGCACGAGCUGACGACAGCCAUGCAGCACCUGUGAAAAGGCCCCUUGCGGGGAGACACUAUUUCUAGUGUCGUCCUAACCAUGUCAAACCCAGGUAAGGUUCUUCGCGUUGCAUCGAAUUAAACCACAUGCUCCACUGCUUGUGCGGGUCCCCGUCAAUUCUUUUGAGUUUCACCCUUGCGGGCGUACUUCCCAGGCGGAAUACUUAUCGCGUUAGCUACGACACAAUCGGGGUUGAGCCCAAUUACAUCAAGUAUUCAUCGUUUACGGCAAGGACUAC